GGGGCUGCCAACGGCGGCGGCCACUUGUGCGCCGCAUCCGGAGGGGUGGCCGCCAUUGUGCUUCGUCGCCGACUGCUCUGCUGUCCCCGUGGCCUGAGACCGAGAGCACCGGGAGAGGAGGAGGAGGAGGAGGAGGCCGUGUGGCUGCGGUGAGCCCCACGCUCCCUGCGGUGUGCCAGCUGGAAGAGGGAAACCUUGAGCAUGGAGUCUAAACCUUCCAGGAUUCCAAGAAGAAUUUCUGUUCAACCCUCUGGCUCUUUAAGUUCUAGGAUGGUGUCUGGAAACAGAGGAACUAGUUUAAAUGAUCCCUAUCACUCUAGAGACUCUUCCUUUAGACUGGAUUCUGAAUAUCAGUUUUUCUUAAUUAUUUUACAGUCUGCAUCAGCAUCAGCAUCUGCAUCACCAUUUCAGUCUACAUGGUAUAGUGAAUCUGAGAUAACUCAGGGAGCUCGAUCUAGGGUACAAAACCCACAACGGGAUCAUGAUUCAAAGAGACCUAAACUUUCUUGUGUAAACUGUACAUCUACCUCAGCUGGGAGAAGUACUGGAAGUGGCUUAAAUACAGUAUCAGAUUCUUCUUGGAGGCAUAAUCAAGUUCCCAGAUCUUCAUCAAUGGUACUUGGUUCAUUUGGAACAGACCUGAUUAGAGAAAGGAGAGAUUUGGAGAGGAGAACAGAUUCCUCCAUUAGCAAUCUUAUGGAUUAUAAUCACCGAAGUGGUGAUUUCACAACUUCAUCAUAUGUUCAAGAAAGAGUUCCUUCUUCAUAUUCACAGGGAGCAAGACCAAAAGAGAAUUCAGUGAGCAAUUUACAGUUGAAUUCAUCAUCUACCAAUCACCAAUUGCCUUCUGAACAUCAAACAAUAUCAAGUUCUAGGAACUCUAGCAGAAAUUCUUUCAGAUCACAUUUUUCUCCAAGACAAUCAGAAUCUUUUCGAAAUGCUUCACAUCCCACAUUUUCAUAUCUUUCAAGUAGAGAUGAAACCCCAGUUAUAAGCAAUUCAGAAAGGGUUAGUUCAUCUCGGAGACCAUUUCAAGAAUCUUCUGACAAUGAAGGUAGGCGUACUACUAGAAGAUUGCUGUCACGGAUAGCUUCUAGCAUGUCAUCAACUUUUUUUUCACGAAGAUCUGGUCAAGAUUCCUUGAAUACAAGAUCAUUGAGUUCUGAUAAUUAUAUUUCUCCAAGAACCUUGACUUCACAGUCUCGGAGUAAUGGAGCAUCAUCUUCUGAAGUCAGUGAUAGCAGGACAUCUGAAGCUUCUCAGGGAUUUAGAUUCCUUAGGCGAAGGUGGGGUUUGUCAUCUCUUAGCCAAAAUCAUAGCUCUGAACCAGAUACGGAAAAUUUUAAUCAAGAAUCAGAAGGUAGAAGUACAGGACCAUGGUUGUCUUCCUCCCUUAGAAAUAGAUGCACACCUUUGUUCUCUAGGAGGAGGCGAGAGGGAAGAGAUGAAUCUUCAAGGAUAUCUGUGUCAGAUGUCCCACCUAGAUCUCAUCUUUUUAGAAGAGAAUCAAAUGAAGUGGUUCACCUUGAAACACCGAGUGAUCCCCUUGGGGCUGCUGCCAACAGACCACAAGCAUCUGGAGCAGCAAGCAGUGUUUCUGCAGGUGGCCCCACACCAGAUUUGCCUCAGGGUGGAAGAAGUACAGGACUAGCAGGGAUUCUUCCUGGUUCCCUAUUCCGGUUUGCAGUCCCACCAACACUUGGAAGCAGUCUGACCGACAAUGUCAUGAUUACUGUAGAUAUUAUUCCUUCAGGCUGGAACGCAGCUGAUGGGAAAAGUGAUAAAGCUAAAAGUGCACCUUCAAGAGACCCAGAGAAACUGCAAAAAAUAAAAGAAAGCCUCCUUUUAGAGGACUCUGAAGAAGAAGAAGGAGACUUAUGUAGAAUUUGUCAAAUGGCAGCUGCAUCAUCAUCUAAUUUACUAAUAGAGCCAUGCAAAUGCACAGGGAGUCUGCAGUAUGUCCAUCAAGAGUGUAUGAAAAAGUGGUUACAGGCCAAAAUUAAUUCUGGUUCUUCAUUAGAAGCUGUAACCACCUGUGAACUCUGUAAAGAGAAGUUGCAACUUAACCUGGAGGAUUUUGAUAUUCAUGAACUACAUAGAGCUCAUGCAAAUGAACAAGCUGAGUAUGAGUUUAUCAGCUCUGGUCUCUACCUAGUUGUCUUACUGCACUUGUGUGAGCAAAGCUUUUCUGAUAUGAUGGGAAAUACAAUUGAACCAAGCACUCGUGUUCGAUUUAUUAACCUUGCAAGAACUCUUCAGGCACAUAUGGAAGAUCUCGAAAGUAGGUGGAAUUUCCCCUCCCCAGAUUUGUUGAAUUUACUUUUGCAAAUUAAACCCACAGAACAAAACCUUAAUGUACUCUUUUCUACCAAAUUGAGUUUUGGUUAUAGGCCUAAUACUACCACAGUUAACUUAUUUGAAUACUAUGGGUUGGAAAAUAGGCUCUAGUUUUUUUAACGUAUUUUUUUAAGUUAUGUUUAAUAUGUGAAAGGAGGUAAUUUUAAUCACUAAUUUUCAGUAAACCACUUUUAUUUUACUAUAUGUGAUUAAAAGGAAAACAUAAAAUUAAGUCCUAUCUGUUAAGGGUUUUUAUUUUUAAUAUAUGAAAAAAAUUACUUUUUAAUUAAAUUCCACAUCAUAGAAGGAAUUCUUUAUUUAGGUUUGUGUUUGGUUCCAGGAAAAUAGGCUUGAGCCCAUAACAAAAUGGUUUUGCUUGUUCUUUGUUUACUUAUAGGUAUUUCUUUGUGGACCUUUAAUUCCAGGCAGCUCAAAUUUCUUAGGGUCAUUUUGUCAUUCUCGUUGGGUGAAGACACCUAAUCCCAAAUCUUACAGGCAUUUCCACAACCUGCUGUCUAUCUUCUUGUAUUAUAGCACGUUCGUGAUGCUUCAUACCAGGCGAGGGCAAAAUUGGCUUUAGAACUACUUGUGGGGAAAAUUAAACCCAUCCGAUCCCUGCCUGUUUGCUUUCACCCUCAGCAACAGGUUUCCCUCCCAGUGCGGUCUCCAUUGUUUGACAUGUGUUUUCAUGUUGAUAGGCACUUCCGCCUUUAGAAUACCUCUUAUCUAGAAGGAAGUCUGGCAUCCUUUGAAGAUAAUGUGAGAAGGAUCUGUCCUCAUAAAAAUCUUUUACUUCUUUAAAUAUUCUAAGAUCUAGCCUUUUUAAGUUUUUAUGCCUGUACUAAUUUUAGGUUUUAACAGGAUUUAAGAGAAAAUCAGCACAUUCUAGGUAUUUUUUAUUAGCAUACGUGAAAGUAAAGGAGCUAGUUGGAAUUACUGCUUACUGUGAAUUUUUUCUUUGUAAUAUUAAUAAAAAAAUAGCUCAUUGACUAAUACAAAAGUUCAGUUUUUUUUCUGAAAAUUUUAAUUUCUGUUUUGGUAGGCUACUGUUGUGGUCAUUUGUUUCAGUGUUUUUUCCCCAAGCUUUCUGACUUUGAAAAAAGUAUUUUCAUUUAAAACAUAAUUUCCUAAGCAUAACAUGGUCUUUUUUCUGUAUGCAAGAGAGAAGAAAAAGCUAGAAGUAAAAUAUAGACAACUUUAGCUGACAGUGGAAGAUGGUGCGGCCUCAAAUGAAUCUCAAAUGACUGGAGUAUUGCUACAUUCUGAAAACUAGCCAAGUUGUAUCUUCCUGUGGAAUCAAUCACUAGAAACACGAUACUCCCUAAAACACAAUGCAGCAGUGUGAUAUGUAAACAUAGAGCAUCACAACAGGGUUUAUGUCAGUCAUGAGCUGGAUAGCACUUACUUUAAGUAGAUUUUAUCCAUAAAUGUUAACAUUUUUCCAGCUCUUAGUUUGGGUUGAUCUAGUAUCCUAGAGAGCAUUCAUUAAGCUUUUUUGCUCUUGAUAAUAGUAAAGAGAUUAGUUGAUGUUUAUCUUAAGGAACUUAUAAAUCAGAUUACGUAUUGCAUAGCUUCUUCUUGCCUUGGCUAUCCCAAAGACAUUCUAGGAUGUUUUAUAUUAAAUAAUGGCCAUUGAGUAAAUUGAGGUAGGAGAUAUUAUAAAAACAAUGUUUCUGAGAAUUUGGAGACAUGGGGAUAAUCUCAGCAGCAGGUUUUUUGUUGUUACUGGUUUUGGUUUGUUUUUUCUGAAGCCAAUUAUUUUAAGUUAGGCUGUGUCUAUAUAAAGCUUUACUUAUAUCAUAGAGCUUUUCCUUGGCAUUGUAUAGACAUAGCUGUGAUGUAAAUUGCAAGAACAUCCAUAACCUAUUAUUCUAUGUACAUUUUUUUUCAUUCUCAUCGGAUGCAUCAAACAUGCAGCGGUAAUAAGCCAGAUUCUACUCAGCUUCAGAGGAUGAGUCUGAAGAAGAUGGAGACCAUAACAGAACAUUUGAUAUUGCCUAACUUCAUUUAAGACAAAUGGAUGCUCCUUAAACAUGUUUAUUAAUAGUGGCAAUUAAGUAUGAAUAAUUUUGUGGGGGAAUGUCUAUUAGAAAUAUUGACUAUAUAUAAAAUGAAUAUAUAUACCUACAUGUAUAAAUGUAAAUAUAUAUUCAUUCUCAAGUGUUGCUGAAUUGAAAUUCUUCAACUGGACUUUUUAACAUUGGCCAGCAAAUCUCAUGUUUAUAAUGUGUAAUCAGAAGCAUUGUUUUCUUUUAGGUGAGUGGUAAAGCAUCACCCUCCCUUUUAAUAUCUAAGCAAUGCUCAUCAACUUUUUCUCUGUGUUACAAUUACUGUAGUCAUAUUUAUGGGGGAAAAUGUUUGUGUAUUAGUCUCUUGCUAGUGAGAAAACUCAGAUAAAAUGUACUUUUGAAAUAAAAUGCCAAUGGCACCUAAUUAGUUUUCCUUUUUAAAUGCCUUAAGUUACAGCCACAUUUUGAUAAUCAUUUUCUUCCAGUGUUUAAAUUUUUUUUAAAGAACAGGAAGUUUGAAGAGCAUAAUUAUAUUAGGUUUCCAAAUUUAAUUUGAAUUCUAAAUUCACUUAGCAAUAAAACCUAAUUUUUAAGAAAAAAGUAUGUAAAAGAUAUAGAAAUGAUGGAUAACUUUUGUAUUGAUUUGCAAAAAUGUAGAUUAUAUUUGAUAGGCCAUGGUAUGUAGGUAUUCCUUUCAGGAAUAUUACAGCUGUAAAUUAUAUCAGAAUUGCCAGUCAAAUGAUAUUUGGUUAAAAAUUAAUGAAAAUCUCAAGUUAACAGAAUAUUUUUUUAAGCCCACAUUCGAAGUUGAAAACACUGGUUUCGCUGUGUGUGGUGUUGUCACUCUUUAUCGAGGAAUAGAAUAUAUAGAACCUGUUUGGGUCCUUGGUGAUUCUGAGCAUUUCUUUGAUGAUUGUUAAUAUUUUUCACGACCUUUGCAAAAACAGAUGAAUUACUUAUUCAACAUGAAUGAGUUUGCACUAUGGUCAUGGUCAUGUAAACUUCCAUAACAGUUUCCACUGUCAACACCCUUAGGAUACACAUUUAUACUUUCUGGUGGUUUCAGAUUAGUCCAAUGUUGUGGCAACAACUUUUCAACAUCUAAAUAGAAACCAUGUAAUUUCUCAAAUGUGAAUAAGCAGUUUGUCUACGCUUAGUUUGUUGGUAUUAAUGUAAAACCUUGGCUUGAAAUAAAGUGAUACUGAUUGA